UACGUAGGGUCCGAGCGUUGUCCGGAAUUAUUGGGCGUAAAGAGCUCGUAGGCGGUCUGUCGCGUCGAAUGUGAAAACCCGGGGCUCAACUCCGGGCUUGCAUUCGAUACGGGCAGGCUAGAGUUCGGUAGGGGAGUCUGGAAUUCCUGGUGUAGCGGUGAAAUGCGCAGAUAUCAGGAGGAACACCGGUGGCGAAGGCGGGACUCUGGGCCGAUACUGACGCUGAGGAGCGAAAGCGUGGGGAGCGAACAGG
rnacentral:rRNA from 1 species